rnacentral:rRNA from 1 species
ACACGUGAUUCAGAGUUUGAUCCUGGCUCAGAAUAAACGCUGGCGGCGUGCCUAACACAUGCAAGUCGAGCGAGAAAGUCCUUCGGGAUGAGUAAAGCGGCGGACGGGUGAGCAACGCGUGAGAACCUGCCCUUCAGUGAAGAAUACCCUCGAGAAAUCGAGGCUAAUGCUGCAUGCGUCCCUUCGGGGAGAAAGGUGGCUUUAUGCUGCCGCUGAAUGGAUGGGCUUGCGUACUAUUAGCUAGUUGGUAGGGUAAUAGCCUACCAAGGCAAUGAUGGUUAACCGGCCUGAGAGGGUGUACGGUCACACUGGAACUGAGAUACGGUCCAG